rnacentral:rRNA from 1 species
ACGCUCGACACCUACGGGGCAGCAGUGGGGAAUAUUGCACAAUGGGGGAAACCCUGAUGCAGCGACGCCGCGUGAGCGAAGAAGUAUUUCGGUAUGUAAAGCUCUAUCAGCAGGGAAGAAAGUGACGGUACCUGACUAAGAAGCACCGGCUAAAUACGUGCCAGCAGCCGCGGUAAUCUGAGCGGGCUGGCAAGGC